rnacentral:snRNA from 1 species
AUACCUUUCUCGGCCUUUUGGCUAAGAUCAAGUGUAGUAUCUGUUCUUAUCAGUUUAAUAUCUGAUAUAUGGGUCAUCGGCCCAUACGAUAUUAACUCUAUUUUUUAAGGGGGACAGCCCGUUAAGAUAGCUUGCUAUCUGGGCUUUCGCGAGUCGCCCAUGCUUUGCACUACUGCACGGGCCUGGCUCAUCCCGC